rnacentral:rRNA from 1 species
UACGUAAGGGGCAAGCGUUGUCCGGAAUCACUGGGCGUAAAGCGCACGUAGGCGGUUUGUCAAGUUGGGGGUGUAAGCUCUGGGCCUAACCCAGAAAUUGCCUCCAAAACUAGCAUACUUGAGUAUUAGAGGGGAAGCUGGAAUUCACGGUGUAGCGGUGAAAUGCGUAGAUAUCGUGGAGAACACCCGUGGCGAAGGCGGGCUUCUGGCUAAUUACUGACGCUGAGGUGCGAAAGCUAGGGGAGCGAACGGG